UUAUCGAACUGCAUUAUAUGACUCUACAAUGCCUAUAUAAUGCAGUUCCAAUGCAUUAUAUGCCAGUGUAGAUGGGGCCCUAAUUUACAUUCACCUUAAUUAGAACAGAUUUUGGUAAAAGGCCAGUUGAGUUUUUUUUGUGGCUAAUAUUUAUUGCUUGUUUUGAUGAUGUCAAAGGCAUGACUGGCCAAAGGUGAAGAUCGAUGCAGAUGGGCUGAAGGGCAAAAGCGUGAGGUAGUGACAUGUCCACAAAACAAAAAAUAAGACUACAACAGCUGUGUGGUGUCAGCUUUGCUUGAUGCUGCAAAGACCUGGGGCAUUACGCAAGUCGACAAGAAAAGAUUUGAUGCAUUUGCUAGCAGGUGUUUAGUAAAGAUGUAUAAUGUCAGGCAGCGCUACAAUGCUGGGAACAUCACAUUUCACAACAUAAAAAGAAAAGAUAUUACAUCCCCUCUAACAAAGCCGUAGCCCACUUGGUCUAUGGGCAGUGAAGAGAGUAAACUUUAUCCAAGAAAUUUUAAUGGCUGAUCUCAUUAUUCAAAAUGGAAUGGCCAGAGUUAGUUUUGAACAUCUGGCAGUAAGAAAAAUCUUACUGGUCAGCUUCUUCUGGGUCAUAUGAAUGCAGAGCAUAAAGAGAAUCUUGCUUUCCUAUUGCCAGUCCCUAGCAUCUGUGGUUCACAUGGAUUUUUAGUUUGGAUCUGGAAGUGAUAACCUGGAUAAUUGGAAGAAGAUGUACUUGUCAAGUGGAUGAAAACUGCCAGCUUGUUUCUCUAAGAACUACAGUGUUAGGAAGGAUCCAGAUCUCAAAGUACACUUCUACUAGAAUCAGGGCUACAUAUUUCUUACAUGAUCAACCAGUGAUCUGAAUGGUCUGGACUAGGGUUGUGCAUUCAGGGUAAACCUUGACCCAUUUUGUGUCCCGACUUUCGGUAGGGACCCUGAUUUUUUUUUGAGCCUCCCGAAAUUGGGACGGCAGAUAUCUGUUUUUGUUCUGGGGUGCCGAAAGGUCAGUUUUCUAUUGUCCAAUUAUAAGGGGGUGGCUUCCCAAGCUCCCCUUCCCAUAAUUUUACACAUUUAAGCUGUUCUACUCCGGGGAGCCCCAGUGGCGAAGUCUGUUAAAACACUGAUCUGCUGAACUUGCAGACUGAAAGGUCCUAGGUUCAAAUCCCGGGAGCACAGUGAGCACCUGCUGUUAGCUCUAGCUUCUACCAACCUAGCAGUUUGAAAACAUGCCAAUGUGAGUAGAUCAAUAGGUACCGCUCCGGCAGGAAGGUAAUGGCACUCCAUGCAGUCAUGCCGGCCACAUGACCUGGAGAUGUCUACGGACAACGCCAGCUCUUCGGCUUAGAAAUGGAGAUGAGCACCAACCCCCAGAGUCAGACAUAACUAGACUUAACGUCAGGGGAAACCUUUACCUUUACUUUUUACUCUAGAGGAGAAGCGCCGGGCUUACAGACCGCACACUCUCUCUUUCCAAGGCAUUUAAAAGAGGCAAGCAAGUUCUUAAAGCUGUUUCUUACUCUCGAGGAGACACUCACACACCAGCUGCCACACACUCUUUCCAUUUCAAGGCAUUUAAAGGAGGCAAGAAAGUUCUUAAAGUUGAGUAGAGGAGGCGCUUGGCUGCAGGCAGGCACCUGAGCACACCAGAAGCCACACACUCUUCCAAGGCAUUUUAAGGAGGCUUCCUACUUCCAGACUAUCCCUCUGUGUUUACCAGGACUCGACAUUGUCAAUCAUAGGACUAUUUACGUCUUGACAUCAACACAUUCCUGGUUUUCCUCUUCUUACUGGGAUGGAUCAUUAAAUAGACUUGAAAUUUAAACUAUCAAAUUGCAGCUGUUCCUUUUUCCCACCAUGAGGGGAACUCCAUGAGCCAGUGACAUCAGAAGAAAACUCCAGCCAACAAGGACCUGGAUCCCGGCUAGACUGGCUUUUUAACCAAUUGGGAAGGGUGUGGGUUUUUUGAAUGGCUGUCAAAGUGGGUAAAAUGUUCUGUACCCCAUGCAUGCUUUAUGUUGAUUCCUUUGAGAGACAACUCUGUACUGAUGUCUUUUCUGUCUGGAAAGAAUAAAUCUCUGUUCCUUUUGCCUUCAAA